UCGUGAGAUGUUGGGAUAAGUCCCGCAACGAGCGCAACCCCUAUUCUUAGUUGCCAGCACAUAAUGGUGGGGACUCUAGGAAGACUGCCUGCGCAAGCAGAGAGGAAGGAGGGGACGACGUCAAGUCAUCAUGGCCCUUACGUGUAGGGCUACACACGUGCUACAAUGGCGUAUACAGAGGGUCGCUACACAGCAAUGUGAUGCCAAUCUCAAAAAGUACGUCUCAGUUCGGAUUGGGGUCUGCAACUCGACCCCAUGAAGCUGGAAUCGCUAGUAAUCGCGCAUCAGCAAUGGCGCGGUGAAUACGUUCCCGGACCUUGUACACACCGCCCGUCAAGCGAUGGAAGUCAGGAGUACCUAAUGUCGG
rnacentral:rRNA from 1 species